GACGAACGCUGGCGGCGUGCUUAACACAUGCAAGUCGAACGGAAAGGCCCUGCUUUUGUGGGGUGCUCGAGUGGCGAACGGGUGAGUAACACGUGAGUAACCUGCCCUUGACUUUGGGAUAACUUCAGGAAACUGGGGCUAAUACCGGAUAGGAGCUCCUGCUGCAUGGUGGGGGUUGGAAAGUUUCGGCGGUUGGGGAUGGACUCGCGGCUUAUCAGCUUGUUGGUGGGGUAGUGGCUUACCAAGGCUUUGACGGGUAGCCGGCCUGAGAGGGUGACCGGCCACAUUGGGACUGAGAGACGGCCCAGACUGCUACGGGAGGCAGCAGUGGGGAGUAUUGCACAAUGGGCGGAAGCCUGAUGCAGCAACGCCGCGUGCGGGAUGACGGCCUUCGGGUUGUAAACCGCUUUCGCCUGUGACGAAGCGUGAGUGACGGUAAUGGGUAAAGAAGCACCGGCUAACUACGUG
rnacentral:rRNA from 1 species